CUGCGAUUUUGCUUUGGCAACAUUAAAACCUAGAACUCGCCAUGUGCAAACCUUCUCAUUAGACAUAUUUCAACGCUUUGGUUUGUAUAUAUCUAUCAACCAUGAUCGUAUCCUUAGUCCUGUAUCUAUAUUGUUAUACAUCUGGUUGUAGUUACACCAUCUUUCUGUGAAACCGUUUGUUGCACGUGAAGAAGCCUACAACAGAUGUUUC